UAAGUUGGCUAGCCCAUUUUCCUAAUAACUACUUCAUCUUAGAUUACUAUUCAGCAUUUUUUUUUUAAGAGCACUAGUGAAACUCCUUAAUAAAAUGUCAGAUGUAUCAUUUGGGGAGUCUCUGCAGCAAAGAGUGCUGGGAAGUUAGCAGGGCUAUAAGAACUGAAGCAGCAGCUAUAGUUAGAUCACCUUAAGGAGAGUAGUAGAAGACCUCAGAUGGUGCUUAAUAGCACAGUUGAACACCUUGCAUGACAUCUUAUACUAUAUAAGCAAUGACACAAUUUUGUUUCUUAAGACAGCAAACCUGACUUCCAGAUGACAGAGGAAGAAGAUUCUAUUCCAAAUGUUAAAAGAUCUCUAAACAGGAAACUGGUGAAACACAGUACUCCAGUGGACUCAAUGUUCUCAAGAAAAAUGCUGUCUCUUACAGGUCCAAUCAAUCAGUCAAUCAAGGACCAAGAUCUCAGUGAGAGAGCUUAUGUAUCCCCAGUGCCAAAAUCAACUCUAGGAAGAUCAGUAGCUCAAAUAUCACUAGCAAGUGUUGAAGCAUACUUCCCUUAUAUGUCUCCAAAAAAGUAUUCAGCAGUGUUUGACUUGCAAGGUUCAAACAGAGAGAUAAGCCAAAGUUCUCAAGUUGCAUUUUCUAGAAGACGACUUUCCACAGUAUUGGCAUCUGAUGAAUCAAAUGAAGAGCCAAGUGAAAAGGCUGUCUCAAGUGUGGAAACUCAGUCUCCCACAAAAGCUUCUGAGAAGUUUGCAGUAAGUCCUAAGAGUGGAUCUUCAUGGAUGGUUACCGGAAUACCAGGGAUAAAAGAUCCUCCAAUGCUGAAAAAGAAGAAAAUUGAUAAAGCUAUUGUGAGAAAGAAGCAAAGAGAAUGGGUGCUUCGCCAACUUAAAAACAUUGAGGAAGCAACUAAACAUGAAUUAACAAUUGAAGAAGCUUGAUUUAACUGUCUUUGAAACUAAUGCUGUUACAUGCUUAUUUUGUGAAUAGAAGAUUCCAAUAAAUCGCAUAUUUGACUAAUCUACAAUGCCUGUCGGACUUCCUAUUCCCUAUUAAAGUUGGUUAGUUUGUUUUUGAAUUUGGGGAUUCUUCUUGCCUCUUACGUCUAGGUGAUGUCAGAUACUGCUUCUAUGUGAAAGCCAAUGUUAGUCUACAAUAGCUAAAUGCCUAGAAUAAAGGAAGGGAGAAAGUUAAGAAAAAAAUCAUUCUUCAUCCUGCCACAGCUGCCACUUAUCACCAUCCUCUUCAGAGCAUUCAAAUCUUCUAGGGUUGCUGAUGUUCCUGAAGCCACAAAGUCCUAGUGGCCACAUGAAUAUAAUCCUGGUUUGUCAGAGGAGAAUCUCAUUAUCUAAAGAGUAAUAAAAACAUGCAAUCAGAAAUACUUCUACUAUUAGCUGGGGAGAUGAGGAAAUAGGGAGAGGCACCAGGUUGGGAGUCCAGUCUCUCUCUAGAGAUUACUAUUUGAUUUAAAGAUUUGGUUCUAAAUGAGUUUGCUCUAGUUUUGUAUUAUAAGUGUGCUACGAUGUCACAUCUGAGAUCCUUACUGCUCCUCUUGGUGUUUUGAAGAUAUGCUUUUUUUUUUUUGUCUGUUUCUCAAGCUGCUGGGGUGGAUGUUGAUCUUUUAGGUCAAAGAAGCUGUUCGUGAAGCACUUGUCAAAGUAAUGCCAGAUGCAUAAUGCUUGUGUUAAUUUGUGCUGCUGCAUGUAACAUAAUGUUUAGGCAGAUCACUUUUAAGUUAUCAAUGGGACAUCAGAAACAGGGAGCCACAAUAGAUUUACCACUCAACCUGAUUCUAAUGUAGUUCUAGCACAGGUGCUUAUCUGACUGUACUGGUUUUGAAGCCAGCAAUCUGUUUUUCCUUACUAUUGAUUCUCUCCAAAGGGGAGAGAUCCUGUUCAAAGUAAGUUGCAAACUAUACACGGAGGCAAGGGAAACCAGUACUUUUCCUUUACACACACUGAAACUUGUCUCCUGUCCUAGACUACAGACAAGUAGAACCAUGAUCUACACCAACCAAUAGCAGCUGUGUUAUGCACAAAAAUACAAGAGCAGAGUUGUGGUUUUACAGCUUCCUGUAAGACUUAAGGGAAGUUAGGAUAUUUUUACUAAUAAUCCCUGAUAUUAAACUCUCCAGAGUUUCUCAAGGGAAUAGCGUGGUCGUCAGAUGUAACUUUCUGUGGUAGCUAGAUCAAGGGGUGAUACUGCCCCUCAGGUUGCUAGUCAAAGUAUAAUCACUUGGUUUGAUGUUUAAUGUUCUGGUAUUUAUUUGUGUGUUAGUUUCACAGAUUGUCUCAUCUCCACCGAUUCCUCUGGUAACUGAGAUUCUGUCUGAAUGUAGAUCUCAAGCUGCUCUUGAGGAAAAAAAACUGGCAUAGUUGAAGUUGUGCUUCUAUUUCCCUUGGGUUUACAUUCACUGGGGAUUUCAUCAGCUUCUGUGAUUUGUGCAGGGGGUUGAACUAAGAUCAGGCAAUGCCAGGCUAGAAUGUAGCCCUCUUCUGUCCCUGGGACAAGCAUAGAUUUGUCUGGCCAUGUUACCCAACACUUAAUCCAAGUGACUGAGAUCUGUCUCUUGAUUAUUUGUACCUUCUCAGGUAGCCAGUUGCACUUGUUCCUUUCUCGGGCUUCUUGGCCUGGUCUCAGAAAGUCUUGAUCUUGCUUCUGUUUUUCUUUCUCCUAAUUACACUUCAAAGUCACCCUUGUCUCCUUCCUGAACCUGUUUUCAUGUCUUCAAAUGUCUCUAUUUAAUGUCAUCUCUAAUCUGGCCUCUACCGGCUCCUUCCUUAUAAAACACAGGCUUCUAUGCCUGAUUUUCACUGCUGUAUUCCUUCCCUAUCUUCAAAGGCCCCCCCUGAUUGAUGUCAGUCUUCUGCCCAAAACUCAGUCUCAGCUGUCAUGCCUCUGAGUGCCUUAGUCUUAGGUUGAUCUGUCCAUGAUGGAAGUCAUUGAAGGCUGUCUGAAAGAAGACUCGCCCCUUGGCAGGCUAGGGGUGCAUGCAAUUGGUAAGAAGGUCUUGCUCAGUUCUUAUUUCAGGUUAAAUGAAAUACAAGAAUAAUCCAGGGAAUAUAGAUGCUAAGAAGUCUUAUCCAAGGGCAACACAAAGCAAAGCUUCCUCAGUCUUGGGACAUGGUAAACACUGGGAAAGUUUUCUAGGGAGCAAGUCUGCUCCCUGCUAAACUCAUGAAACUAGUUGGUGGUAAUAAAAUCCUGGAGACUUUCCUCAGUAGGAGUAAACUAAUUGCCUGGAGUGGUAACACAGAGUUGACUUUGACUGGGUCUUCACAAGUCCUGCAGCUGUAUCAGGCAUGUAAAACUGGGGGCUUUCAAGAUAUUGGAAACUGCUACUAUUUCUUCUCUGUGGAAUGUCAGACCUAGAUCAGUAAUCAUCAGACCUAGAUCAGUAAUCAGACUUAUUUAGUGAUAAUCUACAUUAUCCCCUAGUGAAUGAUGUUCCCAAACAAAGAGUUGUCUCUAAUUUUUAAAAGCCAUGAUGUUAAGGAACUUGAAACUACAUAUAAUUGCUAUUAUUGUACUUCAUGUGUAUGUACUGGAGGAAAAAGAAUAAAAUUAUUUUGUUUACUAGGUUUUUACUUUCAUUUGUUUCUCCAGCAGACUCCCAGGAAGCUUAAUGAGAGUUAGGUUACUUUUCUAUUGUAAUGGAUACAUUUACUUUGAGAGGUUCUGGUAGCGUGCUGUUCUAAUCUUGUUUAAUACUAAUCCUACAGCAGCAACAAUGGAGAAUUACUAUUUAGUGAAUUGCAUCAGGUGCAAAGUUCCUUUAUGCGUAUUUAUGUUGCAAUAACAACCCAGUGUACAAAAACCCAUAGUGGGAGCUGUAGAGUGCAACAUCACUUUAAAAUAGGCCUUUGUAUUAACAGUGGGUGGUGAGACUGGAAAAGAUUUAAGACUAUGGUCACCAAAUUAAUGAUAAUCUUCAACACGCUAUGUUUUGAAAAAAUGUUAUGGUAUUUAGAAAACCAACCUUUUCUGCAUGAAUGAAUCAGAGCUUUGAUAUUUUCUUGAGCCUUGCUCUUGUCAUGGCUUUCAAAUGCAACAUUGAACAUUUGCAAAUUGAGAACAGCCUUCCCCCCCCCCCCAGAGAGUACUCCUUUAGACCAGUAUUUUUCCUUUAGGAGCUAAGCUGUGUCCUUGACCUAGGGAAUUGUUUUUAGAACACUUGUUUCUGAAUGGAUAUUAUGCAAUCUACAUGCUGAUAGUGACUAAGCAUGCGGUUGGAUGGAGAAGAACAAAAACACUACCAAGAACAGAGGAAAGAGACAAAAACAUUUUCACCCUGGAUUUAUGAGCUCAGCCUUGUUCCCACUGAAGCAACAGUAAUGCUUCUGUUGACAGAACUGGGAGUGCUCUACCGAGCUGACGUGCUGCUGUAGCAGAACAGGUUGAAAGAAAAAAAAUGUUUAGCACACAUAUUUAACAUAUUUCAAACUUAAAUAUAACAGGUAACUGAGUAAAUUCUUUGUGGAUCCUAGCUGAACAAUUUUAGGAUGACUAGUAAAAGUAGAAACCGUGAAAACUUUUUUUCUCCAAAUCACAGCAUACUUUCAUUCCUACAGACAAAACUGAGUAAUAAAUAAUACAGCAGUGUCCCUGAUCUGUGCUCCAUAGUGUCUAUAAGACAUACAAGUCUACAGGCUUCCUCUUCUCUGUCAUUGCAGGCUGCAGUGCCUAUUAAAACAACUCAACAUAUCUGACUUAAUAGAAAAAGAAAAUGAACAAAUAUACUGAAGUUUUGACUGAAGUUAGCAGAACCUUAGAAGAGCUGGACCAGUUGAAGCUACUAGCUAUUAUUUUCAAAUGUAAUCAAAAACUAGACCUAGGCCAAGAUACUGGGUCCCACCUAAGAUAGUCUUCCCUCUAGAAAACCUCAGAUCUGCUGCUCAGCUGUCAUAUUGCCACGUAGGUGCCUAAUGUAUCAGUUUUAUUAUUAUUAUUAUUUCACUGCAGCCAGUCCUAACAGGUUUGCUAACUCCGUAGAACAUGACAUCAGCUCCUGGUUACUGUCCUUUUAGCAUUACUUAUGCAUGUGAUCUCACAGCACUUUAGCUACACCAAUCCUACCUUUCCACCCUGAAAUGUGUACAAAGGAGACUUGUAGAAGACACCAGUCAGUGAGUAUGUAUAUCCAUCUGCCUUUAGUUUCAGCAGCCCACAGGGUAAAACUCUAUGAAGUGUGACAAAACAUUUCAAAUCCCCUUGUCCUUUGAAACAGAACUUUGAAAUCAAAGAGUCUGAGGUCACAAGGCAGUAAUCACCAUCUCUAGGCUUACUUUGUAGUCACAGCUUUUAAGCGUCACCUUUGAAAGCUGUUCUACUUUGUCUAAGCAUUUAUUAGAAAAGGUUAAAUUUUCAUCAUAGUUCAGUGACUCAUUGUCUUGCACCUGAGGAAUGUUAUUAGUUUUGUUUAAAUUCAUAUUUAUUUUUUAAAAAAAUGGAAAGAGGAAUGAGUUAAAACAUCCUUCAUUACUCCUAGGAUGAAAAAAAGGAAAGAAGGGAGAGAGGGAUGGAAGGAUACAGGAAGGGAUGAAGAAAGGAAGAUAUUUCCUUCCUGCUUCUUAACAUUGCUGCCAUUUGAAUCAUUUCUGUUGUCCUCCAUUUCACCCUUUUGUCCUUUCCUAGCUCUCCAUGUCCUCUUCUGACUGCCUUAUGCUUUCACUUCCUCAUCUCAUUGCAGAUUUUUCUCCUGUGGUGAUCAUCUUCCACUGGUAGAUACUGUAAGCCUUCUAAAACUUACAACUUCUCCUAAAGAGGAAAAAUUAGCAAUGAGAAAAGAAAUAUCUUACACCCUUAAGACAGAAAAACAAAGAGUCUCUUCCUAGAACCAGAAUACUCAAAUCUAGUGUGAAAACAUGAAUGUAGAUUUAGAUAUAGGAAAAAAAAAGUACAGGCAGUACUGCUAACAAAUUUACUGGGAGAAGAACUGGAUCUAAACAGUUUAGAAAAUGCCUACAUAAAAGGUUUCAAAGUAUACUUUCCUGCCAAGAGAAUACCAUACAGUAUACAACUAAUCAAACUGGUUCUGUGUGAUAGAGUUCACACAAAAUAGACUGGUGCUUUAGGUAGGUGCAAGCAACCAGGAGCAUGAUGAAUAAGAUGGGCAAAGAGGGCAUGGCACAGCUGAUUACAUAGAAGUGCAGGGAGGGCUCAGGGUGUGUGGCAGGCAGCCUGCUCUCUUUCUUUUCUGAAAGUAGCACCAGUCCCUCUUUGUUGAAAGAAAGUGGUCACCCGCCACAAUGGUCGUGCUGACUCAGAUACCCACACAGAGGGGCCACAAUCUUUCCAGGCUAAUGCAUACACCCAGAGUGAUUUCCCAAAGGCAACACAGCUGUCCAGGCCUUUGGCAGUAGGGAUCUCCAGAAUCUGGGCCUAAGGGCACUGCGGGGUGUGUCAUGCAUGCCAGUGUGCCCAGCUAAGCAACCUUUUUGAGCAGGUGGCCAGGUUGUGUGAGGAAAUCACAAACAACAUAGUAUUCAGGAAUCAGAGAGAGACUGAUGUGUGGUAUCAUGCAGUGACACAGUCAGACCAAUAACCUUGUCUUAGGACCCUGCAAGAGGAAGAAACUAAGCUAGCUUCCAACUCUGAGGAAGCAGUCAACAGAAAUAUACAAGAUCAGAAUAGAAUCAUAGAAUCAUAGAAUGGCUUGGGUUGGAAGAGACCUUAAAUACAAUUUAGUUCUGACCCCCUGCUUUGGGCAGGGUUGUCAAUCACUAGAUCAGACCAUCCAGGAACUCAUCAAGCCUG